AUGUGCAUUCCUACAACAUAGUGUUAAUGCACCAAAUCCCAUUAGAACUCCCUAGUUAAACACGCUCGGGAUAGAGUAGUACUGGGAUGGGUGGCCACCCAUGAAGUCCUAGUAUUUUACAUG
rfam:Picea glauca, whole genome shotgun sequence.